UGAAGUUGGAUUACCAUUCAUCCGCCAGGCAGGUGUGGAGCACAAAAUCAACUUCAUUAAAUCAAAUGCCAUUUUCGCGUUGAGCCAAAUGUUGAACAAUGCAAGUGUUUUCAUGAGCAAAAUUUUAAAAGAUGAUUCAGCAAGCUUGUGCGUACGUGUUUAAUUACCUUAUUAUGGGAUUUUGUUUGUUCUGGGAUUGAUCGAUACUGCAGGAUGAUAACAUAGCACAAUUUGACAUGGCAUUCGUUGAUGCUGACAAAUCUGGCUACAAGCAAUACCAUGAACAGUUGUUGAAACUAGUUAAGGUUGGAGGUAUAAUAGUUUAUGAUAACACCUUAUGGUUUGGAUUUGUUGCUCAAGAAGAAGAUGCAGUACCGGAACAUCUAAGGAAGACAAGAAAGGUCAUACUGGAGAUCAAUCAAUUUCUGGCUUCUGAUCCUCGAGUUGAUCUCUCACAAGUUUCCAUCGGUGAUGGGAUUACGUUAUG
rnacentral:misc_RNA from 1 species